rnacentral:snoRNA from 1 species
UUUCCCAUUUAUUUGCUGGUAUAGUCUCACAAUGAUAUGACCAGUUAUACUCAUGGGAAAAAAUAAUAUUGGGCCAUUGUAAAUUGGCAUCAAGUAACUAUUUUCAUCUCUUCUGCGUGGACUAUAUAUAU